rnacentral:rRNA from 1 species
GAACAGAAAUUGAAACAACGCAACCGUACUAUCUAUUUACGAUAAUUUGAUUGCUGACAACACGACAACAUCACGCUUCUCUUUCUUAUUCUUAUUUAUAUAGUCACUUUACCGGGCCGGAAAAGUGACACCGUCACGUCUCAGGGUCGUAUGCCUGGAACAAGAAGGGUCGUUGUACAAUUUUGGCGAUUACAAAAAAGAAGGAGGCGAGCUCCCUAUCCCUCUUUGUCUUUCCACUUCCCUCAACAAACGCUUCGCCAAAUUCUUUUGAGUCCCACCCCGGUUUUUCCCCACUAA